rnacentral:tRNA from 1 species
GCUUCCGUGGUGGAAUAGGUAGACACAAUGGACUUAAAAUCCAUUGGGAGAAAUCCCGUGAAGGUUCAAUCCCUUUCGGAAGUA